CGUUGAGUCAUAACUAGUAAUGGAAACCACUACAGCCAAAAAUGUUACAAGUUUAAAUUUGACAAAUGAUCUGAGCGCAAUGAGCCACGGUCACUCCGCAACGAUAUUUGGCAGUUACAGGUUACCACAUUUAACGAUUUUACCUAAAUUAGGCAGCCAGGCGAACUUUAAUCAAGGUAACCCCGCUUCGGCGGGGUGCUACAGGCCCGGUGCGCGCAAGGGUCGCCGCCCGGUCGAGGAGAGAUGCGCGCCGCACCUGCCCCGUUCGCGGGGCCGGGGAAGCCGUUCGAGCAGCGUCGUGUCGCGGUCCGGGACUGUCCUCAGUCCCGGGUCGUCUCGGCGCGGUUCCGAGCGGUCGCUCCCUCGCGAGGUGCCGCGGGUCAGCGGCUGACGCCAGCCACCUUCCCGACCCGUCUUGAAACACGGACCAAGGAGUCUAACAUGUGCGCGAGCCGCGGGGCAGUACGAAACCCGUAAGGCGAAAUGAAGGUGAACGCCGGCGCGGUCCGGCGGAGGUUGGAUCCCGUCCCGUCGGGGCGGGCGCACUACCGGCCGAUCUUCUCCGCCCUGUCGGCGAGGUCGAGCGAGAGCGUGCAAGUCGGGACCCGAAAGAUGGUGAACUAGGCCUGAGGAGGUUGAAGCCAGAGGAAACUCUGGUGGAGGACCGUAGCGAUUCUGACGUGCAAAUCGAUCGUCAAAUUUGGGUAUAGGGGCGAAAGACUAAUCGAACCGUCUAGUAGCUGGUUCCCUUCGAAGUUUCCCUCAGGAUAGCUGGCGCUCUGUCGCAGUUUUAUCUGGUAAAGCGAAUGAUUAGAGGUCUUGGGGGCGAAACGCCCUCAACCUAUUCUCAAACUUUAAAUUGGUAAGAAGCCCGACUCGCUCGUUUGGAGCCGGGCAUGGAAUGCGAGUGCCAAGUGGGCCACUCUUGGUAAGCAGGACUGGCGAUGCGGGAUGAACCGAACGCCGGGUUAAGGCGCCCGACGCGACGCUCAUCAGAGCCCACAAAAGGUGUUGGUUGAUAUAGACAGCAGGACGGUGGCCAUGGAAGUCGGAAACCGCUAAGGAGUGUGUAACAACUCACCUGCCGAAUCAAUCAGCCCUGAAAAUGGAUGGCGCUGGAGCGUCGGGCCUAUACCCGGCCGUCGCGGCGGUACGAGCAUCGAGUUGGUGCGAUAGGCGGCUAUGAUAGAAGGGCCGCGCCGGAGGGCGUAGAAGCUAGGGCGCGA
rnacentral:ncRNA from 1 species